rnacentral:rRNA from 1 species
AGCGAACGCUGGCGGCAGGCCUAACACAUGCAAGUCGAACGAAGCCUUCGGGCUUAGUGGCGGACGGGUGAGUAACACGUGGGAACGUACCUUUUGGUUCGGAACAACUCAGGGAAACUUGAGCUAAUACCGGAUGAGCCCUUAGGGGGAAAGAUUUAUCGCCGAAAGAGCGGCCCGCGUUAGAUUAGCUAGUUGGUGAGGUAAAGGCUCACCAAGGCAACGAUCUAUAGCUGGUCUGAGAGGAUGAUCAGCCACACUGGGACUGAGACACGGCCCAGACUCCUACGGGAGGCAGCAGUGGGGAAUCUUGCGCAAUGGGCGAAAGCCUGACGCAGCCAUGCCGCGUGAAUGAUGAAGGUCUUAGGGUUGUAAAAUUCUUUUACCAGGGACGAUAAUGACGGUACCUGGAGGAAAAAGCCCCGGCUAACUUCGUGCCAGCCGCCGCAGUAAGAC